CAAAAAUUUUAAGGCAUCCCUUCAGAGUAGAGGAGGAAAAAAAAACUGUCAAAGGGGAUAUAUAAUGUUCCAACAUUAUUUUAGGGGACAUGCAAUGCAAGCAAAAUACUUGAAGACUCCUGAGCUGGACAGCAUUUGUGUUCUUUUCAACUCUUUGGAUUUUGUGGAUGGGGUCUAAGAGGUUACUGUGGUGAGUGGGCACUGCAAAGAGCAGGACACCUAUCUCCAAAUGUAAAGGUUCACUUACAACCAAGUCUCCAAACAAAACAAAGUAGAAACAAGCCAACAAAUAAAACCCACCAUCUCCUUCUCUUAUACACACACACACACACACACACACACAGAGCAGACCCCCCAAACCCCCCAGUAGUUGUUCCAGUAUAGGCCGUUCAUCAACCUGUGAAAACAUGAGCUUCGUUAGCAACAGGGGAUGGUCUGAUCCCUGGGAAAUCUCUGGAGCUGGGAGUGGCCUCAAAGAGGAUCAUUAAAGAUCAAAAACCCCACUUGAAGUUGUUUGUUCUGCUGCAGUGUAAAUCCUCUUGGCUGAGCAGCCCUUGACAGAGUCUGCUGCCUGCACAGAAGUCUUAGACGGGUGUUUGGUUUGUUUUCUGUGGAAAUCAAGGCAAAGGUCUGAGUUCCACAUCUGAGUGCAGACCCAGGACAGUGUACACGGGACGGCAAAGUGACUCAAACUGAAAGAACCCAGUGGAAGCAGAAACUAGGAGCCAGAGGUGUCAGGAAUAGCUCAGCCCUUCCCAGAGGCAGCAAGAGGGCAAGAAGGACAGAGGAGACUGAGCUGGCAGGUCUCUAAAUGACCUCAAGUCACCACAGCCACUGGUGCUGAAGGAAAUGGGAAAAUAGUCUCGUGACCCAGCGAGUGCUUCCCAUGCAGGUGAGUGCUGACAGUGGGAGACAGGGGUGUAUCAUCCUGGCAAGAGAGCAGAGGGGAGAGGAGAGGACUCCUCAUGCUGUGGGAGCUGGAAUCCUGGCUUGGCCGCCCUGAGUCAGCCUUCAAUAGCCAGGGCCAGACCUCCCCUUCCUAGCAGGGCCCUGCCCAGAUCAGGUGGCCAAGAGGGGCUGUUGCUCAGCCCUAAUCCUGGAAUCAACCCCAGGAAGUGGUAGCAGGACCCAGGUGGCCUUGGACCAUUUCAAAGACUGGCAUCAGAUGUUUAUCAGCUAGUAUUUGUGCAAGGCCCAGGCUGAGGAUGCAUAAGAGACUGUGAAAAAUGUCAGGAAAGCGAAAACAGCUUUCUGUAAAUAGGGCUCAGACCCUGGGCAGGGUGCUAUGUCUCCCCUUGGGGCCUUGGUGAAGGAAAACGCAAACAUUAAUCCAGAGUGAGAGAAAGAAACAGACACCACCUUGUAGGAAGAUGGAGGACUGACUCCAGGAAACUCCAAGAGACGGGAUGCAAAGAGAGGCAGGGUCUGUGUUUUACUUUUUCUUUGAAUGUUCUGCAGUCUGUCAUCUCUGGAGGCCUCAGAACCUGGUGUCACAUUACAGGGUGAAUGCCAGGGACAAGCUAAAGAGAGGAGAAGGUAUGACAUAGCUCCACCUACAUGCAAGGGGAGCCAGGAAGUGCAAUCCCUGGCCGGGCUGCCACGUCUCAGAAACCAUUAAGCCUAUGGAAGGUCUCUGGAUUUGAUGGCAAAUGGCAGCAGAAAUGUGGAAAAGAUCAAAGUGAUGUCAAGGUUGAUCUCUGAGUUUGGCACGGCUGAACUCAAACAUCAUUUGCCAUGGACCCACAGUGUCUUCAGUAGCUGAGUGUGGUGUCAUUCCCCUAUGAUAUGUGCACUCAAUUGCUGGCCAGUUUUUGUUUUUUGUUUUUGAGAGAGUCUCGCUUUGUCUCCUAGGCUGGAGUGCAGUGGCACGAUCUCGGCUCACUGCAACCUCCGCCUCCCGGGUUCAAGUGAUUUUCCUGCCUCAGCCUCCCGAGUAGCUGAGAUUACAGGCAUGUGCCAGCAGGCCCGGCUAAUUUUUUUUGUAAUUUUAGUAGAGACGGGGUUUCGCCAUGUUGGCCAGGCUGGUCUCGAGCUCCUGGCCUCAAGUGAUCCACCUGCCUCCACCUCCCAAAGUGCUGGGAUUACAGGUGUGAGCCACAGUACCUGGCCCCAGAGUUUUAGAAAUUGGAUCAUUUUAAAUGUUGGAGGGGAGUUCAUUGUUUAGGAUGGCUGUGUGGCAAAUCUUUUUUUAAAGUAAGUAAUUCUCCUGUAUUAUAAGUCACCUCCUGAUCUCUACAUUUAAGGUUUGCUGUCCUGGAUGUGUUCACCUAUGAAUGUAAGUGUGCUGAGAUACACAGUGCAAGGCUGAAGUCAGAGACACCACUGAUGAACCCCUGGGAAAUGGUAACCCAGCCAGGAAACAAACAUCUUUUAUGAAUCAGUUUAUCCACCAAACACUUGCAGAGAGCCUAUCCCAUGCCACCCCUGAGAGCACAGUGAUGGAGAAGAUAUGCUUCCUGCCUCCAAGAACCCCAUAGUCUAGUGGCAGAGACAAGCAUGUACAUAGCUGCCUAUAGUACAGCAUCACAGGUGCCAUAACAUUGUGUAAACUGGGAAUAAUUCUAUUCUCUGGAUAUAGAACAUCUAACCAAGAUAUUGAGUAUCUGGCUUCCCCUUCCCCACACUGGCCCUCACUGGGAUCCAUGUCUAAUAUUAUGAAAGUCACACAAUAUCAUUAUAAACUAAUCAUAAAUGGCACUGUCAGUUUGCUACAAAAACUUAUUCAGAAAAUAUUCAGAUUCUCCCAUCAACAUAUGCCGCUAUGUUGGCAAAAUCUCUGAUUUAAAAUACUUAUUUCGUUUUCCUCUCCGAUUUUGUUCUAGUCUUCAAAAUGAUUUCAUACAACAAAGCACUGAGUUCCUUAGUUCCUCUGACCCCUGCCAGAUCUGAAGCUGUGAUGUUCAAAAGUCAGGGCAGAGUCCAUCUUAUGAUUGAGUUUCAUAAGAGUCUAAGCCACUGAUCAACAUACUGUGGCAGAGUAAGCUUUCUGGGUUCCAGAAUUUAUUGUGAGUGGGCUGAGGGAGUUGAGAAACGGCAUGGGAGGCCUAAAGAUAAAAUAACUUUUGAAUGAAAAUUAUAGGAAAGUGGAUUUGAGAUCAAAACAAAGGAAGGUUGAUCAUAGUUGGAAUCAUUUAAGAUUGGUGGGGGUAGUGGGCUUCCGGUUCUUAACCCAGGCCAGGCAGAGGUGUGACAACAGUCAGGGGUUUCUAAACAGGGUGGGAGGUUAGAUUAGAUGAGGCUUCAACCCUUUGUGUUGAACUAAAAUCCUAGCUCUGCUUUCAACUCCUAGACUCCGCUUCAUCAUUGCUAAGUUGGAAAGAGCAAGCAAUUGAGAGUCCCUGCUGGCCACAGCUGGGGUGCCCCAGACCACAGCACUGAGCCUCAAAGGCAAGUGAGCAUAGUGUUGGGAGCUGGGCUUCUGGAUCCAUCAACUCCAUCUGAUGACUCAGAAGUUCCUUCAGUUCCCAACACUGGAGUCCAGCAAGGCUCGUUUGUCUUGUUUUAAUUAUUAUUUAGAUGACUGUUUGGCUCAUACCUGAGCAAGGUUCGAAUCAAGUCAGACCUGUUAAUUGAAUCAAAGUUAUAUAAUCACAUUUGGGCACUUAAAUGUAAACCAAUUAUGUUGGAAGCCAAGUAUCUUGUACUCAGGAGGGAGUUCUAAUAAGUGCUGGGAAUGUAUGCUAAUGCACAAAGCCUAACCCCCAGAGUGGAGGGUGGAGCACUCCAGGGCACUCCUGUUUCGGUGACGUUGUUUUAAUAGCUAGUGCUCUGGGUGCAGUCUGGGAAGAUACUGGAAACAUCUCAAGCAAGUAUGACAUCCAUUUUACCCAAGCCCAUGGAACCCAUUAUGUUUGGAACAUGUCUGUCUGUGGCAUUUGGCUUGGCUUAUAAAUGCACUAUCAGAAUCUGUAGGAGGCCUUAGCAACAAGACGUGUCUUGGCCUUUCUGGUUAUCAGCAAUCCCUCCACCUCUCUCUUAACAAACAUAUGCCAUAAGUCCUGAUCAGGCAUUUAGUUUUUUCACUUGGACCUUUUCCUAGUUCCUAGUCUCAACCCCAAUGCCUCCUAAUCUUGCACUUCUUCAAAUACUGGCCCCCCUCUACUAUGAGAGAGAGAGGAAAGUAGGGAGGAGAAGGAGGAAAAGUUAUUGAGUUGAUAUGAGGGUAGUCAACCUAAAGCAACAAUCAGGAGUAAGGUACUGGACUUGAGUUUGAAGUGUUUGUCACUAAACUCUCUCAAACUCUUCCAGGCUAACUAGCCUCAAAGGGCUUCUAGCCCAUAGUCUCCUUGUAUUUUCUGCCCUCCUCACUUGGAGUGGGAGGGAACCAGAUGUCCAGUCUUUGUCCAGUGUUAAGAACUGGCCUGGCAGGCUUUGUUGAGACCAUCCAGACUUGAAAGCCUCACAACCAGAUGCCAUCACAGGCACUUUCUGCUCUUAGCCUUUGUCUGUGUCUCCUACAUGAACUCAUCAGACUGCCUCUGAAGAGGGACAUUCUAGGGACAGUUUCAUCUUCAUCACCAUCCUGGAUAGGGAACCCUUCCAGACUCAGAGUUGCAAAAGUCAGGGAGGGGCUGCUCACUGGAGGUGGAGUCCUUUGGCCAGGUUUCACUGUAAACACAUGGCUAAAAUGUGUCGCACAUGGACAGGCAUGCUAGUGUGCCCUGGAUACAUGCUAGUGUGCCCCGGAUAUAUGCUAGUGUGCCCCAUAUAGCUUCUGGCUAAAGGACACACCUCAGCAAGGCCAAAUGAGGCAUCAGGAUGAACUCUUCAAAUAGACUUCAUUAGACCCACAGAAGACUAACCUUUGCCUGACUUUGGAUUACCCCUUUCUUGCCAGGAAUUAUGUUAAAUGACUAUAUCUGGAACUAGAGGUCUUGAUAGCCACACUUUGCUUGGUGUGGCUUCUCAGUCUUUUAAGGACAUGGCUAUCAAGGGCUCAUGUUUAUUCCAGGUCAGCCCUUUACCCCUUUCCUCCAGGGGCAUCUAUGGCAACAAAAGACCAUGACAUCUGGCAGGGCUGGCAGGACUAUUUAGUUUAGGCAGGAAUGUGGGUGUUAGCAUGUCAGAGUACAUCUGAGAAAACAUUCCAAACCAACCUUUCCACACUGGGAACUCAACCCCCAGGAAUCACCAAAGAUAAGGGCAACAGUCUUAUCUCUCGAGGGAAGUUCAGGGUAAAGGCCACUCCCGCUGUGGACCAGAGCUCAGGGAAGAAGAAAGCUCAGGCUGGCUCUGCCUGUCCCCUUGAUGAACUUCCACAAAUGCCACUCUGGGAACUGAGGCAUAUGAAGUGGGGAAGAAAAUACCAGCCCUGCCCUGGAGCUCUGGGAUGGUGGCUGUACACCCCUAAAGAUGCCAGCAGAUCUGAACUGUGGCCUAUGUGUGUUUGGGAAUUGAGAAAUAAGGAGAUAGAGGGACAGCAGGCAGGAAAAACUACAAUUAGUCUCAGCUCGCACAGAUUUGGGAGUAUGCAGAUCUGAAUUGUGGCCUCCAUGUGUUUGGCUGAAGGAUAAUGAUCUCAGGCCCAGACCUUUUUUUUUUGUAUCACUCGCUCAGGGGGCUCUGACCAGGAGCUUCUUUCAGAUGACACAGAUCCCGAGGAGCCACUUGCCUUCUACCCAUGACACUUCUAAGAGUGACUCUUGCCAUGUGACCAUAGAGAUAAGUGAAGCUUUUCUCCAAUGACAUCAUUAAGAAGUCUAAACUUCCCCAAAGGGAGAGGCUGUGACUAGGAACACAAAUGUCUCAGUGUAUCACACUCAUGCUCCCAGAUCUGUGGGCAGAAAAAGAAAUCAUAGAAUGGUGCAUAUCCUAAAAAUAAAAAGGAAAUUGCUUUUCAAGUUAUGAAAUUUGGCCCUUCUCAUUGUGAGUUUAAAGUACAUGUUACUGCUUCAGUUUCUAAAACAGGAGGUGGCCAGAUUCAGAGUUUAAAAUGUCUAAGUGGUUAUUUGAAAACAGAUAUUUAGAGGCAACUGAGAGAAGAAUACUGGGGCCAUGGGUCUGCAGUCACUUUCCCAGCAGUGCUCUGAGGCCUUGGGUCUCAUAAAAGGUAAUCAUAGUUACGCCUUUUAAAGAAAGCUGAGUCUAAUUGUAGCUUUUCCUGCCUGUUGUCCCUCUAUCUCCUUACUUCCCAAUUCUAUCUAUCUUUCAAAACCCAGCUCAAAUCCCACCUCCUUCCAUAAGUCUUUCAUUGUUUAAUAUAGUUGGAAUUUACCUCUCCCUCCUCUAACUCCCAUGGCAUUUUAUUUACACCUCUCUGAUGGCCACUUUCUACUUUCUAUAAGGUAAGUUAUAUACUUGUUUUAUAUCAAUAAAUUUCAAAAUAUUGAAAUCUUACAGAGUAUGUUCUCUAACCACAAUGAAAUUAGAUCAUAUAUUAAACUACCUAGAUAAUCCUACAUAUUUAGAAAUUAAAUAACACAUUUAUAAAUAACCAUGGAUCAAAGGAGACAUUUUAGGGGAAUUAGAAAAUAUUCAGAUUGAGGGAUAAUGAAAAUUCAAUAUUAUAUUUCAAAAUUUGUGGGGUGCAGGUAGAGCAGUGCUUAGAGGGAAAUUAAUAGCUCUAAUAUGUUAGUAUUAGAAAAAGAAGGAAGGUUUAAAAUUAGUUAUCCAAAUUUCCAUUUUUAAAUGUAGAACAAAAAGAGAAGUAAACCCAAAGAAAGAAGGAAAUAAUAAGUAUAAAAGCAGAAGUCAGUAUAUUGGAAAACAAGCUGCAGGGAUUUUUAACUCAGUCAAAAAUUGGUUCUUUGAAAAGAUUCAUAAAAUUGGUAAGCCUCUAACAAGAUCGAUCAAUUAAAAAAGAGAGAAAAUACACCUUACUAAUAUAGGGAUGAAAGGGAGGAUAUCGUUACCAAUCUUACAGGUUAUAAUGAUAAUUCAGAAAUGCUAUGAACAACUUUAUGGCAAUGAAGUUGAUAAUUUAUGUGAAAUGAACAAAUUCCUUGAAAAACACAACUUAUCAAAAUCAAAACAGGAAGAAAUAGAUAAUCCAAAUAACCCAUAUUUCAUAAAGAAGUUGAAUUAACUAUAAAAAAUAUUCCACAAAGAAAACUCCAAGGCUCUAUGAUUUCACUUGUAAAUUCUAUCAAAAAUUUAAGGGAAAAAAUACAAAUCUUGCAUAAACUCUUUCAAAAAGAGAGAAGAAGGGAAACUUUCAUUUUAUAAAGUCAGCAUAACUUUCAUACUAAGACCUGACAAAGACAUUUGAAGAAAUGAAAAUUACAGACAAAUAUACUUGUGAACAUAGACACAAGAAUCCUUAACAAAAUAUUAGCAAAUAGAAUUCAGAAAUACACAAAAAUGAUAAUACAUCAUGACUAAGUAAGGUUUACCUUAGGAAUGUAAAGUUGGUUUAACAUUUGAAAUUCUAUCAAUGUAAUUCACAAUAUUAAUGGAAUAAAGGAGAAAAACUGUAUAAUAAUCUCAGUAGAAACAAAAAAGCAUAUGAUAAAAUUUGACAUCUAUUUAUGGUUAAAAACUCUUAAAACUUAGCAAUAUAAGGGAAUUUCCUCAAUUUAAUAAAGUACUUCUGCUGGGCAUGGUGGCUCAGGCCUGUAAUCCCAGCACUUUGGGAGGCCGAGGUGGGCAGAUCGCCUGAGGUCAGGAGUUUGAGACCAGCCUGGCCAACAUGGUGAGACCCUGUCUCUACUAAAAAUACAAAAAUUAGCUGGGCAUGGUGGCGCAUGCCUGUAAUGCCAGCUACUCAGUAUGCUGGGGCAGGAGAAUCGCUUGAACCCAGGAGGCGGGGGUUGCAAAGAGUCGAGAUCGUGCCACUGCACUUCAGCCUGGGCAACAGAGUGAGACUCCAUCUCAAAAUAAAUAAAUAAAUAAAUAAAUAAAUAAAGUACAUCUAUGAAAAAACCUACAGCUAACAUAUAAAAUGGUGAAAUAUUGAAUAUUUUUCUCCUAAAAUCAGAAUAAAAGGAAGGGUUGUUCACUUCUAGCACUUCCAUUCAAACUUGUAACUAGAGGUCUUAGCCAGAGCAAUAAAACAAAAGGAAAAAGAAUUAAAGAGUGGAAAUAAAGUAAUACAUUGUCUUUAUUUGAAGAUGACAAGAUUGUAUAGAUAAUCCUAAUGAUAGAGGGCUAAUAUACAAAAUAAAUUACAUUUCUGUAUAAUAGCAACAAAUAAUUGGAAAAUAAGAUUCAAAAACAGUAAUUAA